GAGCAAACCCAGGCAAAGUUGAAAACCUCUCGUUCUGAUUCAGAGAAAAUCAAGGAAGAGUUGGAGCAAACCCAGGCAGAAUUGGGUAAAUAUUU